UACGGAAGGGUGCAAACGUUGCUCGGAAUCAUUGGGCGUAAAGCGCACGUAGGCGGUCUGUUAUGUCGGAUGUGAAAGCCCUCGGCUCAACUGAGGAAGUGCAUCCGAAACUGGCAGGCUAGAGUACUAAAGAGGGUCGCGGAAUUCCCGGUGUAGAGGUGAAAUUCGUAGAUAUCGGGAGGAACACCGGUGGCGAAGGCGGCGACCUGGGUAGAUACUGACGCUGAGGUGCGAAAGCGUGGGGAGCAAACAGG
rnacentral:rRNA from 1 species